GUCCCGCGAGAGUAGGAAGGGAUCCCAGGCCGCGUAAUUAGCGCUAGCAUCCGUGAGAGGCCAGAGCCCGUCCGCUCCGGGACCCAGGCCCCUCGUGCGCUCACGACGAAGAACUUCGUAGCGCAUCGGCCGACGGCUGCUCCGGUCGCCGCCCCUACUCCGCGCGCCGAGAGGUAAGGGUGUGGCCCAUCGAUGCCGUCCUCCUCUGCUUGGUGGCCUCCAUGGAUGCGGGAGGCCAAGUCGCCAGAUCCAUGCUGGCCGAUCGAAAGGGUCCCCGGAGGACGGCCGUCGGCCGGAGCUUCGCCAUCUACCUCCAACAGCCAUCCGGCACCCCAUUGCUACUGGCGUGUCGUGCCCCUUCCCAAUCAACGUCGCCGACAGCCUUACGGAUGCCGACAUCGCCGGGCUUCCUCAGCUCCCUCCCUGCCCCCUUGCCGGACCUCCCCGGCUCCCAGCUGCCCGUACACAGCACCGGCACGGUCCCCGUGGCCUUGUUGACACCUCCCCGAGUAGGUGACCCACACGCACACCACUCUCGGCUGCACCAGCGCGGAAGUGAUGGUGCACGACGACGAGCUUCCUAGACAAGAGGAUCUCCGUACUCUUUCUGAUGGUGCAAAAUCAAACCAGCAACUUAGUGACAAGAGGAUCUCCGUACUCACUAACCUGUUCUGACUACUGAUGGACAUUAUUCAACACAUGUCUUUGAACUGAAAAAUAAUAUAGUUAUUAAAUGUUUAUUCAGUUGAGAGAUGCCAAUAGAAUACCAGUUUGGUUUUUUCUAUUUAAGUUCUUUAUAUAAAUUUUCUUCAUAAUAUGCUUGAAACGGUACUGCUUUCAGUACAUAUUUUUUAGCUAUUAUAAUGAAUAAUUAGGUCCAACUUUUACUUUCAUUUGGAGCAGGUUCACUUUCGCCUUAUUAUUGCUCCACAUACUGAUACAAAUGUCGGAGAUUGCUCUUUUCUGGACACCUGCCGCCACACUGAGGUUGGCCAUAGAAGCAUAAACCCAUUAUGUUUAUCUCUUCCUGUGCACCUAUUUUUAUCUUACACGCACUUGUCAGAAACCAUUUUUUGGUUCAAUCUUCCCUGAUGUAUAGAUAUCAAUGCAUGCCCUUGAACCUGUUUGAGGUUUGAUUUUAGAUACUAAAACACAUCCCUUCUGCAUUUUGUUGAUCUCUUCCGUAAUUUUCCUAAUUACCUGUUCAUCUAGAUCUGGAGUGGACUGAAGUUUCAGUAUCUAUGAGAGAUGCAAGAACCUGUUCUCCUUCUCAAGGAAGCAUUGAGCAGUUGCAUUGCAAAUACAAGGAUCACCAUCAGUCCAACAGAGAGGUAGCAACAAGAGGUUGAGGUUAUCACUUGAGGGCAAGAAAUCCUAUCGUAUCCUUCCAAACGCGGAGGAGCAUUCCUUAUACUUUUAGCAGAUCAAAUAAUUCGAUGAUGCUUUGCUUUCUUACUGUUAUCUGUUGAAAUGCAUGUUAUCUGUUGAAGAGCAUGGUAAGAAUGACAAGCCUACCAAAUGUUUAUUCCAAAUCUAAAAUGCAUAUACUUAGCUACGUGUUUUGUAUGCAUAAUCAGGGGCGCUAAGCCCUGCAUUUGGCCUUAAUAUGAUGAAAUAAAUAACUUGUCAUUGUUAUGCAUAUUAGCUAGGUUCAGCUACGUGCGUAUGUCAUAUCAUCAAUCUGUCCCCAUUGAUUAUGCGUGUACUUUUCUCUUGUAUUAGCCUGAUGUAGAAAAUAACUGAAUUUUGUUUCUGUUCUUGCAUCGCAAAACCAACUUGGGUGAAACUGCUAUUGCCAAAUAGAUUGUUCUGAUUAUAAGGACCCUUUUUCCAACAUCGAGAUGAUGUAUUUGCAAACCUUAAUGCAAAAUGGUUAGUCAGUCUCAGCUCUACUUUCUAGAAGAACAUGUAACUGGAGGUUAUGCAGUCUAAUGUCGACAGGCGCGAGAUACAACGCCAACCUGGCAAGCUUUAUCUUCCUAUAAGCCACCCAGAGGUCCAGGGCGACUACAUGCCCAUCACUCGCGGCGGCGAGAAGCACAUGCAUACGGCAAGCUCUGUGUCGAGAUUAUUAACCAACACCUGUUGGGAGCCCGGAUGAAGAAGGCUGUCGACGUGGAGAAAGAGGAUAAGUGAUGAGAUGUUUAUGGCAGCUAAUGGAUGAUGUUAUCUUAGUUUCUGGAUUUUUGUUUCGGUUGAUCGGAAACCUUGUUUGAUUUUUGAAGAUAGCUUUUUAGAACUACAAAUAUUUGAUACAAUGUGUUUUA